rnacentral:rRNA from 1 species
CGAACGGGUGAGUAACACGUGGGCAACCUGCCCAAAANAAGGGGGAGUAACAACUUGGAAACAGGUGCUAAUACCGCAUAACCAUAGUUACCGCAUGGUAGCUAUGUAAAAGGUGGCUAUGCUACCGCUUUUGGAUGGGCCCGCGGCGCAUUAGCUAGUUGGUGGGGUAAAGGCUUACCAAGGCAAUGAUGCGUAGCCGAACUGAGAGGUUGAUCGGCCACAUUGGGACUGAGACACGGCCCAAACUCCUACGGAAGGCAGCAG